rnacentral:rRNA from 1 species
UGAGGAAUAUUGGUCAAUGGGCGCGAGCCUGAACCAGCCAAGUAGCGUGAAGGAUGACUGCCCUAUGGGUUGUAAACUUCUUUUAUACGGGAAUAAAGUCGCCUACGUGUAGGCGUUUGUAUGUACCUUAUGAAUAAGCAUCGGCUAACUCCGUGCCAGCAGCCGCGGUAAUACGGAGGAUGCGAGCGUUAUCCGGAUUUAUUGGGUUUAAAGGGAGCGUAGAUGGGCUUUUAAGUCAGUUGUGAAAUUCUGCGGCUCAACCGUAGGACUGCAGUUGAAACUGGGAGCCUUGAGUGCAGUUGAGGUGCAUGGAAUUCGUGGUGUAGCGGUGAAAUGCUUAGAUAUCACGAAGAACUCCGAUUGCGAAGGCAGUGCACCAAGCUGUAACUGACAUUGAUGCUCGAAAGUGUGGGUAUCAAACAGG